rnacentral:rRNA from 1 species
AUUGAACGCUGGCGGCAGGCCUAACACAUGCAAGUCGAACGAGUGGCGGACGGGUGAGUAAUGUCUGGGAACCUGCCCGAUGGAGGGGGAUAACUACUGGAAACGGUAGCUAAUACCGCAUACCAUCGGAUGUGCCCAGAUGGGAUUAGCUACUCGGUGGGGUAAAGGCUCACCUAGGCGACGCUCCCUAGCUGGUCUGAGAGGAUGACCAGCCACACGGGAACUGAGACACGGUCCAGACUCCUACGGGAGGAAGCAGUGGGGAAUAUUGCACAAUGGGCGCAAGCCUGAUGCAGCCAUGCCGCGUGUAUGAAGAAGGCCGUCGGGUUGUAAAGUACUUUCAGCGGGGAGGCGGUACCCGAAGAAGAAGCACCGGCUAACUCCGUGCCAGCAGCCGCGGUAAUUC